rnacentral:rRNA from 1 species
CAGUCGAACGAAGCACCUUGGACAGAAUCCUUCGGGAGGAAGACCAUUGUGCCUUAAUGGCGGACGGGUGAGUAACGCGUGGGUAACCUGCCUUGUACAGGGGGAUAACAGUUGGAAACGACUGCUAAUACCGCAUAAGCGCACAGUACCGCAUGGUACGGUGUGAAAAACUCCGGUGGUACAAGAUGGACCCGCGUCUGAUUAGCUGGUUGGUGAGGUAACGGCCCGCCAAGGCGACGAUCAGUAGCCGACUUGAGAGAGUGAUCGGCCACAUUGGGACUGAGACACGGCCCAAACUCCUACGGGAGGCAGCAGUAGGGAAUAUUGCACAAUGGGGGAAACCCUGAUGCAGCGACGCCGCGUGAAGGAAGAAGUAUUUCGGUAUGUAAACUUCUAUCAGCAAGGAAGAAAAUGACGGUACUUGACUAAGAAGCCCCGGCUAAAUACGUGCCAGCAGCCGCGGUAAUACGUAUGGGGCAAGCGUUAUCCGGAUUUACUGGGUGUAAAGGGAGCGCAGGCGGUACGGCAAGUCUGAUGUGAAAUCCCGGGGCUCAACCCCGGUACUGCAUUGGAAACUGUCGGACUAGAGUGUCGGAGGGGUAAGUGGAAUUCCUAGUGUAGCGGUGAAAUGCGUAGAUAUUAGGAGGAACACCAGUGGCGAAGGCGGCUUACUGGACGAUUACUGACGCUGAGGCUCGAAAGCGUGGGGAG